AACCUUACCUACCCUUGACAUGUACGGAAUCCUGCUGAGAGGCGGGAGUGCCCGAAAGGGAGCCGUAACACAGGUGCUGCAUGGCUGUCGUCAGCUCGUGUCGUGAGAUGUUGGGUUAAGUCCCGCAACGAGCGCAACCCUUGUCCCUAGUUGCUACGCAAGAGCACUCCAGGGAGACUGCCGGUGACAAACCGGAGGAAGGUGGGGAUGACGUCAAGUCCUCAUGGCCCUUAUGGGUAGGGCUUCACACGUCAUACAAUGGUCGGAACAGAGGGUUGCCAAGCCGCGAGGUGGAGCCAAUCCCAGAAAACCGUCUAUCCGGAUCGCAGUCUGCAACUCGACUGCGUGAAGCUGGAAUCGCUAGUAAUCGCGGAUCAGCAUGCC
rnacentral:rRNA from 1 species